rnacentral:rRNA from 1 species
CUACGGGUGGCUGCAGUGGGGAAUAUUGCACAAUGGGCGCAAGCCUGAUGCAGCAACGCCGCGUGAACGAUGAAGGUCUUCGGAUCGUAAAGUUCUUUUCUUAGGGAAGAAAAAUGACGGUACCUAAGGAAUAAGCACCGGCUAAAUACGUGCCAGCAGCCGCGGUAAUACGUAUGGUGCAAGCGUUAUCCGGAAUCACUGGGCGUAAAGGGAGCGUAGGCGGUUUUGCAAGUCAGAAGUGAAAGGCUACGGCUCAACCGUGGUAAGCUUUUGAAACUGCAAGACUAGAGUGCAGGAGAGGCAAGUGGAAUUCCUAGUGUAGAGGUGAUAUUCGUAGAUAUUAGGAGGAACACCAGUGGCGAAGGCGACUUGCUGGACUGUAACUGACGCUGAGGCUCGAAAGCGUGGGGAGCGAACAGGAUUAGAUACCCCCGUAGUC